AAUCCUGCUUCUGAGUAUCGAAUUCAAUGGCUACAAUUUGGUUGGUGCUGCUGCCAUCGGUAGUUGCAUUGGUGAGGCCCAUCCACUGCCCCCAGCUCUGAUCAGGUACAUCAGCAGUCGGAGCUAUAAGAAAACCAUAACUUGAAGGGCUGGUGGUACAUAAUCCGGCCAGACGUAUUUUGAAGGCGAACAAUAUCGUUCUGCGAGUCGGGAGUUAGCUGCAGGGCGCCCUCAUCGAUGGAAGACGACCCUUGAGUGAAGGAGAAGUCUUUGUUGUGCUCCCUUUCAUUGAAUCCAACAUAGGCAAAACGAGGCUCAAGGCUCGGUUGGCUGCUCACAGCUCCAAAGAGCAAUACCACACAAGCCACAAGAACAGCAACCAAGGAAAACCAGAACAUACAGAUGAAUUCCAGGCUCUGUAGAUCAGCAAUGAGAAUCUCGAAUCCAGAUCGAGAUCUAAGUUCUUCCUUUGUGAAACUGUUUGAGAAAAAGCUAGAGGUAAGCUCUUUUUUGCCUUAAAAGUUAAGAGCUUUCCUCCAUGAUUAUCGCUUUGAUAUGAAAUGAAAAGAACAUCAUUGAUCAUCUGUAACUCCUCAACGCGUUAGUUUAAUCUUUUGGAAGCAACCGGGUUUUGGGAAAGUUUGGAAAUGGUCGAAGGUCAAAGGGGGCUUGAGGAAGAAGGGUCAAAAUUUUCAUGCUGAAAAUGGAGAAAAAGCCAUUGAUGAAUUCUUCACGUUGACAAAAACGAGCAGCUUCUGAGAGGUUAUCUUGACAGUUAAAUGUACUGAGGUCUACAAUUGUUCGGUGAGAAUGGUUGAGAUACAUGCACUUUCAAACUUUCAUGGAUGAGAACAAGGAUCGGAUAAGAACGGUAUGAGUUUUUUAUGGAGUCGUUCAUAAUAUACCAUUAGUGUUUCUCAAACUAUCAUAAAUAUUUGUACGGGUUAUUAAAUGUUAGGCUAGCCUUCUUUUUAAUUCAAUACAUCAAAAUAGAUAUAAAUGUGGUUAUUCUUGUUGACUUAAAUAUGAAAUCUUAG